UUAGACAGUACUACUGUUGCAUACUGGAGAUGAUAUGUUAGAGUAGUAGACUGACACAGCAUGGCCAUAUAUGAGAAAUUGAGAACUACCGGACUACAAAGAAUGUUAAGUGUCGAAGCACUUCUGUACGAGUUUGCAAGAGAAUACGUUGGUGCAUGAUCCAACAUACAUAAUCCAAUUAGUGGUAUUUAAGAAGAUGCUUAAGCAAAAGAAUCCAUGUAUGCAUAAUCCCACAUUUGGCAAAAUAUACAUGUCGGGCAGGAUACCAGGGAUUCAGCAGAUAUGCAGGAGUACCAGGGAUUAUGCUUGCAGGAGUACCUGUCCAUUUCCAAAGUAACAAGAAAACAAUAAAUCAACGCUUAAAUACCAAAAAAACAUAGUACAGUGCAUCAAUGAUUCAUACUGUCAGCAUAAGAACUUACCUGAAGUUCAGAGAUCUGCAUGUGCACAAGGAAUCAAGCGCACCAUCAGUUAGGAUUGACCCACAAAAUCGUAGGGGGGGGGG
rnacentral:lncRNA from 1 species